GACGAACGCUGGCGGCGCGCUUUAUACAUGCAAGUCGAACGAGAAGCCAGAGCUUGCUCUGGUGGAAAGUGGCGAACGGGUGAGUAACACGUGAGAAACCUGCCCAAAGACUGGGAUAAGCCGAGGAAACUUGGUCUAAUACCGGAUACCUUCUUUUUAUCACAUGUUAAAAAGAAGAAAUGCUCCGGCGCUUUGGGAUGGUCUCGCGACCUAUCAGCUUGUUGGUGAGGUAAAAGCUCACCAAGGCAUCGACGGGUAGCUGGUCUGAGAGGAUGUCCAGCCACAUUGGGACUGAGAUACGGCCCAAACUCCUACGGGAGGCAGCAGUAGGGAAUCUUGCACAAUGAGGGAAACCUUGAUGCAGCGACGCCGCGUGCGGGACGAAGGCCCUAGGGUUGUAAACCGCUUUCAGUAGGGACGAAAGUGACGGUACCUACAGAAGAAGCCCCGGCCAACUAUGUGCCAGCAGCCGCGGUAAU
rnacentral:rRNA from 1 species